UACGGAGGGUGCAAGCGUUGCUCGGAAUUAUUGGGCGUAAAGGGUAGGUAGGUGGUCUUAUUUGUCUGGGGUGAAAGCCUUGGGCUUAACUCAAGAAGUGCCCCAGAAACGGUAAGACUAGAGUCCUAGAGAGGGUCGUGGAAUUCCCGGUGUAGCGGUGAAAUGCGUAGAGAUCGGGAGGAACACCAGAGGCGAAAGCGGCGACCUGGACAGGCACUGACACUCAACUACGAAAGCGUGGGGAGCAAACAGG
rnacentral:rRNA from 1 species